CCGUCUAAUAAUGCAAACAUAUCACAUGCAUGCAUCUCUCCAUGUAUAAAUAAUCCUAGCUAAUGGCAGCAGGGAGAGCAAAGUAUCAAGUCAUCAACCAGAGAAUUCUGUGACCUGCUUGAUCCCGCAGCUAGCCAUGACGAUCGGCGUCUGCUACGGCGUGGUGGCCAACAACCUCCCGCCGGCUAACGAGGUGGUGCAGCUCUACAGGUCCAAGGGCCUCACCGGCAUGCGCAUCUACUUCGCCGACGCCAAGGCCCUCUCCGCGCUCCGCGGCUCAGGCAUCGCCCUCAUCCUCGACGUCGGCGGCACCGACGUGCUGGCCAGCCUCGCCGCCAACGCCUCCAACGCGGCGAACUGGGUCCGGGACAACGUGCGGCCCUACUACCCGGCCGUGAACAUCAAGUACAUCGCCGCCGGCAACGAGGUCCUGGGCGGCGACACGCAGAACAUCGUCCCGGCCAUGCGGAACCUCAACGCGGCCCUCAAUGGCGCCGGCCUCGGCGCCAUCAAGGUGUCCACCUCGAUCCGGUUCGACGCGGUGACCAACACCUUCCCGCCGUCCAACGGCGUGUUCGCGCAGGCCUACAUGACGGACGUGGCCCGGCUCCUGGCCAGCACCGGCGCGCCGCUGCUCGCCAACGUGUACCCCUACUUCGCCUACAAGGACAACCCGCGGGACAUCCAGCUGAACUACGCGACGUUCCGGCCGGGCACCACGGUGCGGGACCAGAACAACGGGCUGACCUACACGUGCCUGUUCGACGCCAUGGUGGACGCCCUGGUGGCAGCGCUGGAGCGGGCCGGCGCGCCGGGGGUGAGGGUGGUGGUGUCGGAGAGCGGGUGGCCGUCGGCGAGCGGGUUCGCGGCGACGGCGGACAACGCGAGGGCGUACAACCAGGGGCUGAUCGACCACGUCGGCGGGGGCACGCCCAAGAGGCCCGGCUUGCUGGAGACGUACAUCUUCGCCAUGUUCAACGAGAACUUCAAGACCGGGGAGCUGACCGAGAAGCACUUCGGGCUGUUCAACCCGGACAAGUCGCCGGCGUACCCCAUCCAGUUCCAUUAGUCUGGCUGCGUCGUCCAUACAUGCGCCGGCCCGUACGUACACACGUGCACUGUCAACCUAAAUAAGCUGCGUAUAGUGCAGGAGUGAAGUGUAACGUGGGUACAAUAUACGUACACGUCGACAUAUUGUCAGCCUAAAUAAGCUGCACGUAUUGCAGCAGUGAAGUGUAACGAGAGUGCAUGUCAGAACAUCGAUUCAUGCAAGAGUAGUGCGACCAUUCCAGGUGGUGUUAUAUAUCGUCUGUCAUGAAUAAAGAGAAGGAAAUUGAGGCAGUUAUGAAUUUUUUGUGAUCCAUGCAUGCUUUAUGUGCAGGGAUUCCGUGAGUCCACGGAAACACGUCUCCCACUGAAGGAACAUCACUGAAAAGCGUGGAAUAGAUCCAAGAAGAUGUGGUUCAAAAAUAUAGUUGAAAUAUGUUAUAUGUACUAUAAAAGCAAAGGCAAAAAAGAACUGCAAUUGUGUG
rnacentral:rRNA from 1 species